rnacentral:rRNA from 1 species
UACGAAGGGGGCUAGCGUUGCUCGGAAUCACUGGGCGUAAAGCGCACGUAGGCGGCUCUUUAAGUCAGGGGUGAAAUCCUGGAGCUCAACUCCAGAACUGCCUUUGAUACUGAGGAGCUCGAGUCCGGAAGAGGUGAGUGGAACUGCGAGUGUAGAGGUGAAAUUCGUAGAUAUUCGCAAGAACACCAGCGGCGAAGGCGGCUCACUGGUCCGGUACUGACGCUGAGGUGCGAAAGCGUGGGGAGCAAACAGG